rnacentral:rRNA from 1 species
CAGCCGUAAACUAUGCGCGUUAGGUGUAUCGGUGACCACGAGUCACCGAGGUGCCGAAGGGAAACCGUGAAACGUGCCGCCUGGGAAGUACGGUCGCAAGGCUGAAACUUAAAGGAAUUGGCGGGGGAGCACCACAACGGGUGGAGCCCGCGGUUUAAUUGGACUCAACGCCGGGAAGCUCACCGGAUAAGACAGCGGAAUGAUUGCCGGGCUGAAGACUCUGCAUGACUAGCUGAGAGGAGGUGCAUGGCGUAGACGUCU